GGGGAAUUGUUCGCAAUGGGCGCAAGCCUGACGACGCAACGCCGCGUGGAGGACGAAGAUCUUCGGGUCGUAAACUCCUGUCGAGUGGGAAGAAUGGAUCGAGGGUGAAUAAUCCUCGGUAUUGACGGUACCACUAAAGGAAGCCCCGGCUAACUCCGUGCCAGCAGCCGCGGUAAUACGUAGGGGGCGAGCGUUGUCCGGAAUUAUUGGGCGUAAAGAGCGUGUAGGCGGUUCGGUAAGUCUGCCGUGAAAACCUGGGGCUCAACCCCAGGCGUGCGGUGGAUACUGCCGGGCUAGAGGGUGGUAGAGGCGAGUGGAAUUCCCGGUGUAGCGGUGAAAUGCGCAGAUAUCGGGAGGAACACCAGUAGCGAAGGCGGCUCGCUGGGCCAUACCUGACGCUGAGACGCGAAAGCGUGGGGAGCAAAC
rnacentral:rRNA from 1 species